UAAACGACAAUUUUUAAUUUUCGUUUUUUUUUCAUUAAUGGCAUAUAUCCUUUUUAAGCGCCAUUUCGGUUAACCUUACAACAAUGCGAUCGACGCAAACGCCAGAGGUAAGUUUGGCAUAUUCACCAAUGUUAUAUAUUGAUUGGACACAAGCGCCAUUUUCUAGUUUUUAAUUUAUUUCACAUAGUAUUUUCAGCCACAUUAAUGU
rnacentral:lncRNA from 1 species